GAUGAACGCUGGCGGCGUGCCUAAUACAUGCAAGUCGAGCGAACAGACGAGGAGCUUGCUCCUCUGACGUUAGCGGCGGACGGGUGAGUAACACGUGGAUAACCUACCUAUAAGACUGGGAUAACUUCGGGAAACCGGAGCUAAUACCGGAUAAUAUAUUGAACCGCAUGGUUCAAUAGUGAAAGACGGUUUUGCUGUCACUUAUAGAUGGAUCCGCGCCGCAUUAGCUAGUUGGUAAGGUAACGGCUUACCAAGGCAACGAUGCGUAGCCGACCUGAGAGGGGGAUCGGCCACAGUGGAACUGAGACACGGUCCAGACCCCUAGGGGGGGCAGGAGGGGGGAAUCUUCCGCAAGGGGCGAAAGCCUGACGGAGCAACGCCGGGGGGGGGAUGAAGGUCUUCGGAUCGUAAAACUCUUUUAUUGGGGAAAAACAAAUUUGUAAGUAACUAUGCCCGCCCUGACGGUACCUAAUAAGAAAGCCACGGCAAACUACGG
rnacentral:rRNA from 1 species